UUUUGGCUGAGCUUACGGCAGUGCUCAGCCCUGAUCUGAGCUCCCUAUCUCCCUCAUCUGAAAUGAUGAAUCUCUGUUGUUCAUGGUUUUUUUUAAAUGUUGAUUGCUGGCAUCCUGAAAUCUUGAAGCAAGAAGUAAUGUUUCCAGAACCUGAUAGUUAUGAGCCAACCAUAGAAGGAGCUUUACCAACAAAUAAUAUCUGUUCAAUUUUUAUUAAUGGAACCUGCAGACUUGAGUCUAUGGAUAUCUCUGAUUUAGCAUAAAUCAUAUCUUUUCUUUUCACAUACCAGAACUCUAUUGGAAACAACAAUAAUCAUAUUGUACCCUUAAAAAUUGCUAUUACAAUCUGUUGAUUGCUUACAUGAAGUAUCUGUCUCUGGUUGCACAUUUACUUUGUUCU